CUCAAGACUAAGCCAUGCAUGUCUAAGUAUAAACGCUUCUAUACUGUGAAACUGCGAAUGGCUCAUUAAAUCAGUUAUAGUUUAUUUGAUGGUUCCUACUACAUGGAUAACCGUGGUAAUUCUAGAGCUAAUACAUGCAGAAAGUCCCGACUUCUGGAAGGGAUGUAUUUAUUAGAUCCAAAACCGGCGCGGGUCUUCGGGCCCGGUUGCUUGGUGAUUCAUGAUAACUGCUCGAACCGUAUGGCCUUUGUGCCGACGGUGCUUCAUUCAAAUUUCUGCCCUAUCAACUUUCGAUGGUACGGUAGUGGCCUACCAUGGUUGCAACGGGUGACGGAGAAUUAGGGUUCGAUUCCGGAGAGGGAGCCUGAGAAACGGCUACCACAUCCAAGGAAGGCAGCAGGCGCGCAAAUUACCCAAUCCCGACUCGGGGAGGUAGUGACAAUAAAUAACAAUGCCGGGCUUUCUUAGUCUGGCAAUUGGAAUGAGUACAAUCUAAACCCCUUAACGAGGAACAAUUGGAGGGCAAGUCUGGUGCCAGCAGCCGCGGUAAUUCCAGCUCCAAUAGCGUAUAUUAAAGUUGUUGCAGUUAAAAAGCUCGUAGUUGGAUUUCGGGGCAGCCUGGCUGGUCCGCCGCAAGGCGAGUACUGGUCAGCCGCCCUUCCUCUCGAAAGCCCCGACUGCUCUUUAUUGUAGUGGUCGGGUAGUUCGGGACGUUUACUUUGAAAAAAUUAGAGUGUUCAAGGCAGGCCUACGCCUGAAUACAUUAGCAUGGAAUAAUGGAAGAGGACCUCGGUCCUAUUUUGUUGGUUUCCAGGGCCGAAGUAAUGAUUAAGAGGGACAGUUGGGGGCAUUCGUAUUUAAUUGUCAGAGGUGAAAUUCUCGGAUUUAUGAAAGACGAACAACUGCGAAAGCAUUUGCCAAGGAUGUUUUCAUUAAUCAAGAACGAAAGUUAGGGGUUC
rnacentral:rRNA from 1 species